rnacentral:rRNA from 1 species
AUCUAUGGCCAUACCACCCUGAACACACCCAAUCUCACCUGGUCUUGGAAGUAAGUGAGGUCAGCCUGGUUAGUACUUGGACGGGAAAAAGAUCUUCAGAGGAGACUGCUCAAAGAGAAGCAGUUUGGAGACAAGGUG